rnacentral:rRNA from 1 species
AGGACGAACGCUGGCGGCGUGCCUAACACAUGCAAGUCGAACGGACUGAAUCCCUUCGGGGAUGAAAGUUAGUGGCGGACGGGUGAGUAACGCGUGAGCAACCUGCCUUUCAGAGGGGAAUAACGUUUGGAAACAGACGCUAAUACCGCAUAACGCAUAGGAGUCGCAUGGCUUUUUAUGCCAAAAGGAGCAAUCCGCUGAAAGAUGGGCUCGCGUCCGAUUAGAUAGUUGGUGGGGUAACGGCCUACCAAGUCGACGAUCGGUAGCCGGACUGAGAGGUUGAACGGCCACAGUUGGGACUGAGACACGGCCCAGACUCCUACGGGAGGCAGCAGUGGGGGAUAUUGCACAAUGGGCGCAAGCCUGAUGCCAGCAACGCCGCGUGAGGGAUGACGGUUUUCGGAUUGUAAACCUCUGUCUUUGGUGACGAAUUCAUGACGGUAGCCGAGGAGGAAGCCACGGCUAACUACGUGCCAGCCGCUGC